CCCUUAGAUGUUCUGGGCCGCACGCGCGCUACACUGAUGCAUUCAACGAGUCUAAAACCUGGUCUGAUAGGGCUGGGUAAUCUUUUGAAUGUGCAUCGUGAUUGGGAUAGAUGAUUGCAAUUCUUCAUCUUCAACGAGGAAUGCCUAGUAAACGCAAGUCAUCAGCUUGCAUUGAUUACGUCCCUGCCCUUUGUACACACCGCCCGUCGCUCCCACCGAUUGAAUGUUCCGAUGAAUACCAUGGACUGAGAGUAUGAAUGGGUUCGCCUAUUUCUGCUUCUCGGGAAGUGGAGUAAAUCUUAACAUUUAGAGGAAGGAGAAGUCGUAACA
rnacentral:rRNA from 1 species